CCCUUAGAUGUUCUGGGCGGCCCGCGCACUACAUUGGCACUAGCAAAGAGAUCCUAGAUUGAAUUCUUUGGGGUAUUCUUCUAAAUGGUGUCGUGACUGGGAUAAAUCCUUGUAAUUAUUGGUUUUGAACGAGGAAUUCCUUGUAAUCGCGGUUUAUCAGCUCGCGUUGAAUGCGUCCCUGCCCUUUGUACACACCGUCCGUCGCUCCUACCGAUGGAUCGUCCGGUGAAGCUCACGGAGUGACUGUUCACGCAACGGUUUACGAAGUGAAAUGGACCUCACGAUCUAGAGGAAGGAGAAGUCGUAACA
rnacentral:rRNA from 1 species